AGCAGUGUACUUGGUCUCCACUGAGGGGUGAGCUCGGAAGAGGUGAUGGGGCAGGGUCUGCUUACCUGAGGUAGGAGAUGACGCCCAUGGCCCUGCAAGAAUGAAAACACCCCAUUUGUGAGUUACACCAGGCCUGUCCCACAGGCAAGGGGUAUGCAUGGGGGUGGGGUUGGGGGUGGGGGGGCUGGAAGAGGAGGCAGAGGCUCCUCAGCUGCCAGACAGACACACGAAGGACAGGGCGACUCCAGAUCAACAGCCCUCUAGGUGGGCCAUCCACUCACCAGAUGUCUGAGCCCUCGCUCACAGGAUUCUGCUCAAUGAUCUCUGGGGACACGAAUUCGGGUGAGCCAUACUUGCUGUACUGUGGCUCUGAAGGGGUGAUCUUUUGGGCAAAGCCAAAGUCACAGAUCUUGAUGUCUUCCCGAGCUGGGUGCACCAUCAGGAUGUUGGGGGGCUGUCAGACAGAGUUGAGAAGUUGUUCAAGGCUACACUUCAUGAAAAAGGUAACUCCUACCCUCUGGGCCUAGGAGAGCACUGAAGAGUCCUUGAGGCUAGUAAAGGGCAGUGGGGAGUCCCCAGGACCGAGAGGGGAAUCACAUCUACUCCAUGAGAGCCAAACCCUACCCGAGGUAGUAGAAACCAAGCACAGGCUGGCUCCCAGCUGUGCCCACCACGAGUUCUGGGGAUGCCGUGAAUGCAAUACCUUUAUGUCCAGGUGGAGGAUACCAUGGCUGUGCAAAUAGUGUAGGCCUUCCACCAGCUGCUGGAUAUAGACUUUGACCUGUGGAAAAUGCCAGGAUCAGUUUGGAACCAGCCCCCAAGAGGCUGGCUCAGGAACCUCCUGAAGGCUGACCCAGGUGAGGAGCCAGCCUCAGGUACCUCCUGAAGACCUGGUCCAAAUGAGGGGCCAGCCUCAGAAAACUCAUGAAGGCCUGACCCAGGUGAGGGGCAAGCAUCAGGUACCUCCUGAAGGCCUGACCCGGGUUGGGGGCCAGCUUCAGGUACCUCCUGAAGGUCUGACCCAGGUGAGGGGCCAGCCUCAGGUACCUCCUGAAGGCCUGGCCCAGGUGAGGGGCCGCCUCAGGUACCUCUUGAAGGCCUGGCCCAGGUGAGGAGCCAGCCUCAGGUACCUCCUGAAGGCCUGACCCGGGUAAGGGGCCAGCCUCAGGUACCUCCUAAAGGCCUGAUCCGGGUAAGGGGCCAGCCUCAGGUACCUCCUGAAGGCCUGACCCAGGUGAGGGGCCAGUCUCAGGUACCUCCUGAAGGCCUGGCCCAGGUGAGGGGCCAGCCUCAGGUACCUCUUGAAGGCCUGGCCCAGGUGAGGGGCCAGCCUCAGGUACCUCCUGAAAGCCUGACCCGGGUGAGGAGCCAGCCUCAGGUACCUCCUGAAGGCCUGACCCGGGUAAGGGGCCAGCCUCAGGUACCUCCUGAAGACCUAGUCCAAAUGAGGGUCCAGCCUCAGGAACCUCCUGAAGGCCUGACCCAGGUGAGGGGCCAGCCUCAGGUACCUCCUGAAGGCCUGGCCCGGGUGAGAGGCCAGCCUCAGGUACCUCUUGAAGGCCUGGCCCAGGUGAGGGGCCAGCCUCAGGUACCUCCUGAAAGCCUGACCCGGGUGAGGAGCCAGCCUCAGGUACCUCCUGAAGGCCUGACCCAGGUAAGGGGCCAGCCUCAGAUACCUCCUGAAGGCCUAGUCCAAAUGAGGGUCCAGCCUCAGGAACCUCCUGAAGGCCUGACCCAGGUGAGGGGCCAGCCUCAGGAACCUCCUGAAGGCCUGGCCCAGGUGAGGGACCAGCAUCAGGUACCUCCUGAAGACCUGACCCAGGUAAGGGGCCAGCCUCAGGUACCUCCUGAAGGCCUGGCCCUGGUGAGGAGCCAGCCUCAGGUACCUCCUGAAAGCCUGACCCGGGUGAGGGACUAGCCUCAGGUACCUCCUGAAGACCUGGCCCAGGUGAGGGGCCAGCCUCAGCCUCCUCUAUUCCAUAGGAGCUUGCUUCGAUCAUCAAGCCUUCCUCCUCUUAAUUCAGGCCCCAUAGGUCAAGUGACUGACAAAGUCACAGGUCAGGAACUGCAAGCCCCAGGGCUGGGUGUUUCCCAAAGGUGGGCUGAGCCUAAAUAGGCAGGAAGCAUCAGUCUGCUUAAAUGAGGGAGGGGCAGAUAUCACUAGUACAGCUGUUCCCCUAUGGUCAGGACGGGUGGCAGAGGCUGGUUAUACCUGGCUACCUUGGAAGCUACAAGAGACUCAAGUCAAAAGAGGCUGUGUCCGGGGACUGGAAUGUAGGCUCUGACUCUAGGGACACACUCAGGCAAGGAGAAGGUAGAGAUUACCUCGGCUUCAGUCACUACACCCUUCUUGAAGAGCCGAUCCAGCAGCUCCUCAGACGAGCACCUGGGUUUCGUUAAGGAAAAGCCGCACAUGACUCCCCGGGGCCUGUGCUCCCAGAAAGGUACCCAGACCUCCUGUGAACCACAUCUAGAGGUGCUGGUAUUCUGAUGAAGGAGAGUGGAAUGAUGACCCCUGGGUCCCAGAUGGGUCACAUCCCUGAGAAAGGGACCUUCAGAAAGACCCUCUGGUGAGUGGGGCUGUGAGCAGCAGCCUAAUGGAACUUGGACACUCUUGCAUCUCUGCACAGAGCCCACUCCAUGCAGCCCUUCACCGGGAUCCUAGAACAAAGCUUUAGGAGUGAAAGGGCAGCCAGAAUGUGAAAUAAGUAAGAGCCCCAAACACGCCCCCAUGGGUGUGACGGAGGCCAAGAGCAGUUGGAAUGGGAGCCCCCUCUCCAAUACCUAAGAGGUUACCUCUGAGAGGGGUCCCAGGCCAUCCUUGCUAAGAAUCAAGAUUGUGGCGGCCCCCAUCUGUGACCCACAGAAAGGAAAGAUCUCAUGUCCAAAACCCCAACCGUGCCACUUCUAGUUGCAGGCUCAGGAGCUGCUGUCACACACAGUCACAGCAGCAGGAACAGGAUGCUCAGAUGUGGGGCUAGUACAUGUCAUGAUAGCACUGAGGUUGAGGGACCCCCACACUCAGCAGCUCCAGCCCCAGUCUGGGACCUGAUGCCUUUUUGAACUCUCUCGGGGGUUCAGGUACAGGAUACAGUUCCAAGAUAAGGAUGAGAGUCUUCCGGGUCUCAAAUUGAUCCAGGAGCCCAGUGACCAGUGGGUGGCCGAGUGUAGCCAAGAUGUCUCGUUCCUGGUAUGCCUGGGCCCGAGUUUUACUCCGUAGGGGGAUGAACUUGGCGGCACAGAACAUCUUGUUUCCUUUGUGCUGAACCCUUUUCACAAACCCAAACACACCCCUGGGGUGAAGAAAGAGAGAGGGGACCCACAGUAGGUACCAUGCUGAGAGUGUCCUGGGAAGGACUGGAAGACUGUGGAGCGGGUGAGGAAGCGGUACCUCCCAAUCUCUUCUUGAACGUCAUAGAAGGAAUGCAGUUUUCUCCGAUAGACUUGAUUUUCGGCAUCUAGCUUGUCCCCUGCAGUCAAAGCACAGGACAUGGACAGUAUAGGCAAGCCAUGAAUUGACCCCACUGCUCUCCCAAUGCAAUGACAAGGGCUGCUCCCUGGCCCCUGUAGCCUGCCCUGGGAGGGCCUUGGCAGAACCAGCCAACUCACCCCCAUGGACCAGCAGCUCUGCCUUGCAGAGCACCUGUCCACCUGCAUUAUUGGCAACACAUGUGUAGACACCGGCAUCGUGUGGAGCCACGUCAGUCAACACCAAGGAGUAUGUCGUUCCAUCUUGCCGUUGGCUCAGCCGGGCACUGCUCGUCAGCUGGGUGCUGCCCUGGACAGACAGAAGAUAGCCUGGGGUACCAUCAGCCUAUCCUGGAAUAUGCCACACCCUUCCCAGAGCAGUCCUUCCAAUACCUGCUGUGUGCCCAGACCCAGGUGCAAGUCAGAAGUGGAUGGGGAGGUACUGGUUAGGGCUAGAGAGGUGGGGCUAUGGGGUGGGGGUUACAGAUUGCAUGGUGGGGUGCAUGAGGCCCCUUCCACACCCCCAUGUGGUCUCAUGCAUACAUGCACCCGUGCCCUCCAGCUCCCAAAGCCUGUCUCCUCCCCACUGCUGCCUGGGCCUACUCCUACCUUGUACCAGGUUACUAUGGGUGGUGGGUGGCCUUCAAUGACAGCAUCAAACUGUGCCAUGUCCCCUACUUGUACUUGUACAUCCUCAAUAGUGACCUGCAUGGACGGGGCCCCUGGGAAAGGAGGGAAGAGAACCUGUGUGGAGCGACCCUCGGGCUUCAUAGCCCUAGGCACAUAGCCAACCAUGUAUAUCUCUGGUCAGUAAAGUCUUAUGUCCCUCGAA